rnacentral:rRNA from 1 species
ACGAAGCUUGCUUCUUUGCUGACGAGUGGCGGACGGGUGAGUAAUGUCUGGGAAACUGCCCGAUGGAGGGGGAUAACUACUGGAAACGGUAGCUAAUACCGCAUAACGUCUUCGGACCAAAGAGGGGGACCUUCGGGCCUCUUGCCAUCGGAUGUGCCCAGAUGGGAUUAGCUAGUAGGUGGGGUAACGGCUCACCUAGGCGACGAUCCCUAGCUGGUCUGAGAGGAUGACCAGCCACACUGGAACUGAGACACGGUCCAGACUCCUACGGGAGGCAGCAGUGGGGAAUAUUGCACAAUGGGCGCAAGCCUGAUGCAGCCAUGCCGCGUGUAUGAAGAAGGCCUUCGGGUUGUAAAGUACUUUCAGCGGGGAGGAAGGGAGUGAGGUUAAUAAGCUCAUUCAUUGACGUUACCCGCAGAAGAAGCACCGGCUAACUCCGUGCCAGCAGCCGCGGUAAUACGGAGGGUGCAAGCGUUAAUCGGAAUUACUGGGCGUAAAGCGCACGCAGGCGGUCUGUCAAG